rnacentral:lncRNA from 10 species
GUGAACAGUUGGUGAAGACGCGGCUCCUCGCAGCCGGUGAGUCCCUGGACACCGGCUCAGGAUCCUAGGACCCUGCAGGCACGUUUUCACGACGCCCCUUGAUCCUGGACUCCUGGGCACUCAGUAAUGAGUCUCUCCCCUCAGAACCUGGGCCCGCAGCUGCAGGGUCUUGAGGUUGUUGGAUCGCUAGAUUUUGUGGUCACAAAGUCGACAGAUCCCGGGGUCACUGAAUCGGGAUCAGUCCUUAAGUCCCUGGACCCCGGGAUUAAUGAAACCUCCAGUCAUUCGGCCCUAGGCCCUCUCUGAUACUGGGUCACCACAGUCCCUAGACCCUGGGGUUUCUGAAUUCCCCUGGCCACUUAUACAUUUGACUCCUUUCGUGGCUAAAUCUCGUGGUCACUGGGUCAUCGGGCAGGAGAGGGCAGCAGGGAGCUGUAGCGUUGAGAAUAAUGGCAGCUUCUCACCAGAAAGUCCCAAAGCUGUCUUAGGAAACCAGAGUCAAAGGAGACCAAGGGGCUGUGGGAACCAUGCCUGGGCGACCGUGUCCCAGGUCUCCUGGCCAUGAGUAGGUCUCCUUCUUGCCGCCUUCUCAGAGUGUUGUCAGCUCAACCUUCAAGGGAGGAAAACUUACACCUCUGUUUAUUUAUUCAUUCAUGGGACAUUGUUACAGCAGCUUCACUCCAGAUCCUGUGGGGUCACAGAGCAAAUAGCUCUGGGCUCAAGAGUCUGACUAGGGUGUAGUUGAAGCACAGGCAAAGCAGAGAGAAAAGUUCAUAUUUAAUUAAAUCAUCCAGAAUUUUGCGUUCAGAAAAUCCAGAGUAAAGCCAUUUUCAUUACAGCAACAUGUUAUUUUGGGGGUUUCGUGUUUAAUACUGUUUUGAUUUUGAGUUACAUGUAGUAUAAGACACCUUGAUCUUUUCAGCAUUUAGGUGUCCAAACGGUUAAAAGUCAGUCUGCCCUGGAUUUGGUAGUCCCUGCACUUGAGGGGUCUCCAGUCUAGGGUGGAAGAGCUGAAGUACUAUCUGAGAGGCGAUGGAUAUAUACUCUUGGACAUGUCAGCCAUCAUCUCAAAAUCAGCACAUCCAAAGCAGAAUUCCUGGUCUCCGCCCUCAAACUACCCCUCCCCCAGGCUUAUGAGUCUCAG